CAGCAGCCGCGGUAAUACGGAGGGUGCAAGCGUUAAUCGGAAUUACUGGGCGUAAAGCGCACGCAGGCGGUCUGUCAAGCCAGAUGUGAAAUCCCCGGGCUUAACCUGGGAACUGCAUUUGAAACUGGCAGGCUAGAGUCUUGUAGAGGGGGGUAGAAUUCCAGGUGUAGCGGUGAAAUGCGUAGAGAUCUGGAGGAAUACCGGUGGCGAAGGCGGCCCCCUGGACGAAGACUGACGCUCAGGUACGAAAGCGUGGGGAGCAAACAGGAUUAGAUACCCCGGUAGUCCCUGUCUCUUAUAC
rnacentral:rRNA from 1 species